rnacentral:rRNA from 1 species
AGUGAACGCUGGCGGUAGGCCUAACACAUGCAAGUCGAACGGCAGCACAGUAAGAGCUUGCUCUUACGGGUGGCGAGUGGCGGACGGGUGAGGAAUACAUCGGAAUCUACUUUUUCGUGGGGGAUAACGUAGGGAAACUUACGCUAAUACCGCAUACGACCUACGGGUGAAAGCAGGGGAUCUUCGGACCUUGCGCGAUUGAAUGAGCCGAUGUCGGAUUAGCUAGUUGGCGGGGUAAAGGCCCACCAAGGCGACGAUCCGUAGCUGGUCUGAGAGGAUGGUCAGCCACACUGGAACUGAGACACGGUCCAGACUCCUACGGGAGGCAGCAGUGGGGAAUAUUGGACAAUGGGCGCAAGCAUGAUCCAGCCAUACCGCGUGGGUGAAGAAGGCCUUCGGGUUGUAAAGCCCUUUUGUUGGGAAAGAAAAGCAGCAGGUUAAUACCCCGCUGUUCUGACGGUACCCAAAGAAUAAGCACCGGCUAACUUCGUG